CUAAAAGCGGAGCAUUCUCCAGGUGGAAAACUGCAGUUCUAAACAGAGCUAAUGGCCGGCUUGGCUGUUAAAUGCAAUCUUCUUAAAGUGUGAGGAUUUCGCAUGACUCUAACAGAACAAUUGCUCGUUUAUCCAUAUAUGACCAGUGGAACUGGAGCUUCACAUCUCAGAGUCUCAGCAAUUGAGCAGGGAGGUUCACAACCCCAACUUGACUGGCCCAACCGGAAAAAGAUCUCACUGGGGGCAGCAAGAAUUGUCUAGCUGCAUGAGCAGUGUAACCCAAAGAUCAUCCACUGCAACAUGAAGGCAGCAAACAUAUAAAUGGAAGAGGACUUCGUAGCAAUAAUAGGUGAUUUUGGUUUAGCAAAGCUCAAGGACGGCAUAGACACUCAUGUUGCGAGAGCUGUCCGUGGCUCUUUUGGCCACAUUGCUCCGGAGUACCUCUCCAUGGGGUUGUGUCCGAGAAGACCGAUGUGUUUGGAUAUGGGGUCAUGCUGCUUGAGCUUAUUAGUGGAAAGAGCACCUCUGAUCUUUCCCGGCUUGCCCACGAAGAGGAUGUCAUGUUGUUCGACGGGGACUUGUGAGAAAGAGGAAACUGGAAGUGCUGGUAGAUUCUGAUAUUAAGGGAAAUCACGUCGAAGGAGUGGUGGAGCAGCUGAUUCAGGUAGCUCUAAUGUGCACGCAAGUCAAUGCAACCGAAGGGCCGA